rnacentral:rRNA from 1 species
UACGUAGGUGGCAAGCGUUGUCCGGAAUUAUUGGGCGUAAAGCGCGCGCAGGUGGUUUCUUAAGUCUGAUGUGAAAGCCCACGGCUCAACCGUGGAGGGUCAUUGGAAACUGGGGAACUUGAGUGCAGGAGAGAAGAGUGGAAUUCCACGUGUAGCGGUGAAAUGCGUAGAGAUGUGGAGGAACACCAGUGGCGAAGGCGACUUUCUGGCCUAUAACUGACGCUGAGGCGCGAAAGCGUGGGGAGCAAACAGG